GAUGAAGAACGUAGUGAAAUGCGAUACGUAAUGUGAAUUGCAGAAUUCAGUGAAUCAUCGAAUCUUUGAACGCAUAUUGCGCUCUCUGGUAUUCCGGAGAGCAUGCUUGUUUGAGUAUCAGUAAACACCUCAACUUCCAUAUCUUUUUUGAAAUGGGAGUUGGACUUGAGUGAUCCCAACGCUUUUCCUCACCGAAAAGUGGCGGGUUACUUGAAAUGCAGGUGCAGCUGGACUUUUCUCUGAGCUAUAAGCAUAUAUAUUUAGUCUGCCUAAAAAACAGAUUAUUACCUUUGCUGCAGCUAACAUAAAGGAGAUUAGUUCUUGUGCUGACUGAUGCAGGAUUCACAAAGACGGCUUCGGCCGACUUUGUAAACUCGAUCUCAAAUCAAGUAAGACUACCCGCUGAACUUAAGCAUAUCAAUAAGCGGAGGA
rnacentral:misc_RNA from 1 species